CAGUCGCCGCGGGAAUACGAAGGGUGCAAGCGUUAAUCGGAGUUACUGGGCGUAAAGGGUGCGUAGGCGGUUCGUUAAGUCUGUCGUGAAAUCCCCGGGCUCAACCUGGGAAUGGCGAUGGAUACUGGCGAGCUAGAGUGUGUCAGAGGAUGGUGGAAUUCCCGGUGUAGCGGUGAAAUGCGUAGAGAUCGGGAGGAACAUCAGUGGCGAAGGCGGCCAUCUGGGACAACACUGACGCUGAAGCACGAAAGCGUGGGGAGCAAACAGGAUUAGAUACCCCGGUAGUCCCUGUCUCUUAUAC
rnacentral:rRNA from 1 species